rnacentral:tRNA from 1 species
GCCUCUAUAGUUAAAUGGAUAUAACUGCGGACUUCUAAGCCGUUAUUCGAGGUUCGAUUCCUCGUGGAGGCA